AAUUGGGUCGCAGAGUGCGAU
rnacentral:snRNA from 1 species